rnacentral:rRNA from 1 species
AAACAUCUCUAGAAGAAGAAUAUUUUUAGUUAAACCUGCUCCAUGCUUUUGUAAAUAGCUGCAGUAUUUUGACUGUACAAAGGUAGCAUAAUCAUUAGUUUUUUAAUUGAAAGCUAGAAUGAAUGGUUAGACAUAAAUUUAUCUUUUUUAUAAAUAUAAUAAUUGAAUUUAAUAAUUAAGUUAAAAAGCUUAACUUUAAAAAAGGGACGAUAAGACCCUAUAGAAUUUAAAAUUAAUGAAUUGUAAUUUUUAGUUGGGGUGACUUUAAAUUAACGUUUAUUUGUAAAUUAUAGGUGUAUAAGUUUUGGAUCUUUAAUUUUUGAUUAUAAGAUAAAAUUACCUUAGGGAUAACAGCAUAAUAUUUUUUUUAAGAUCAAAUUUAAGAAAAUGAUUAUGACCUCGAUGUUGAAUUAAGAUAAUAUUUAGGUGCAGUUGUUUAAAUA